UAUAGAAAAUAGCAUGGCAUUUUCCAUAUCAGUCCUAGAAGCAGCCCGAGACUCCCAUUUCAGUGAGAGGAAUUUAACCAGGGGUACUGGUAUGAGUCGACGGACCGAUAUGGAAAAGGUUGUGAAAUAAUCUAUUUAUAAGAUGUUUAGCCUUUGAAGUUAAAACGCGUAAAUAGGAAAAACGAUCCGACACUUAAAUAAAAGCAUUGUAUUUAUUUCAUUUGAUCUUUUUUUUUUUAUUAAUUUUCGAAUUUUAUAGAGAUACAAAUAUUCCCGUAACCACGGUCCUCUGGUAUCGUUCGCCCCUCUUUUAUAAAAAAGGAAUUAACUUAAUAUGACGUUGUUUUUUUACACUGAUUACCAAUGAGGGUCUUGCACGGUCUGAAUCAAUUUAAGAAGAUGCCUGCCACCAUUUUGUAUUGUAGAAUAGCAGAACGAAGCAUUCAGUCUAGAUUAUUAAUAAUAUUUACAAAUUUUUAUAGAAAAACGUUAUUC
rnacentral:lncRNA from 1 species